GUAUAUUCUCGUAAAGUCAAGUGAGCCAUGACAUAUGAGCUCUUAUUGUGAGCACACAGGACGGUGGCAUCUUUCUAAGGUUUUUUUUAUUUUCCCAGCAAUCAGUACAACCAAGUCAUCGUUAUAAGGCAUCGCCCUCUUUUGCCCACCCCCCCAGCACCAGGUGUGGCCACUAGCCUAUAUGAAGGCCCAAAAUUGUGUGUUCCUUUCUGCUCUGACAAUGGCAUGCCCAUUCGUGCGAGAUGUGGUGGAUGAAGAAGCACUUGUGCUGAGGAGAGCCUUCAGGCGAGAAAGGGUCUUCAGGGACCGGUUGGACCCACUGGCCUUCCCUGAUGACCAUCUAUAUGAAAGAUACAGGUUUUCUGCAGAUUGCAUCAGGUAUCUAUGCAGACUACUGGGUCCCAGGAUUAAGCACCGCACUGCACGGAGCCAUGCACUGAGUGUGGAGCAAAUGGUUUGUGUGGCCUUGCGCUUUUUUGCUAGUGGAGCCUUCCUGUACUCAGUGGGGAUGCUGAACAAGGCCACAAUUUGCCGCACAAUAAGGAGUGUGUGUCUGGCUAUCAAAGCAUUAGCAGAUGUCUUCAUCUCCUUCCCUGGCCACAGAAGACUCUGUGACAUCAAAGAGGAGUUUUAUAGGAUUGCAGGUAAGAGGAUCUACAAAUUACAGGACAACUGUUAACACAUAGUAGGAUACUCAUUACUUUGUGUGACAGGUUUCCCCAAUGUCAUUGGUGCAGUGGACUGCACACACAUAAGGAUAAAAGCCCCUCAGGUGCCCAUGAGGCCGAUUUUGUGAAUAGGAAAUCCUUUCACAGCAUUAAUGUUCAGAUGGUCUGCAAUGCUGACUGUGUGAUCAGCAAUGUUGUGGCAAAAUGGCCUGGCUCAGUCCAUGACUCCAGAAUCUUUCGGGCCUCUGAAAUCUAUCAGUGCCUAUCACAAGGUGAAUUCUCUGGUGUGUUGCUGGGAGACAGGGGUAUGGCUGCCAGCCUUUUCUCCUGACACCUUUCACAGACCCCAGGAAGCACAGCAGGCCUACAACCAUGCCCAUGCCAGGACCAGGGCCAGAGUUGAAAUGACCUUUGGCCUCCUGAAGGCACGCUUUCACUGCCUUCACAAAUUAAGGGUCAGCCCUGUUAGGGCAUGUGAUAUUACUGUGGCUUGUGCUGUCCUCCACAAUGUGGCCUGCCUGAGGAAGGAGAGGGCCCCCAGAGUGCCACCAGCCAUGGACUGGGACAAUCCGGCAAUCUUCCCUGAUGACGACAGUGGUCGGCUGCUGAGGGACCAAUAUGUGUUGAAUUAUUUUAGUUAGUAUGUGUGCUUUCAAUUUUGGUUAAGUAUGUCCUGCGGUGGCAGAGGAAUUUGGG